CUUACCUCAGGUACUGGACAAUUUUCCAUAAAAUUCCCAUAUUUAACCAAAUUUCUAUACCAUCGUUUCAUCAAAUUAUUGAUCAAAACAUUAUUUACCAAUUCACAAACAUCAAAUUCCUCCGUAAACAGACUCUGAUAAAUUUUUGAGUCUCUCAACCUUAUUUGAACAUCAACGAAAGCAUAAAAGUCGAUAAUAAUCGGUUGAAUCAGUGUUAUGUCAACAUUGAGUCCGUUGGGUUCUUUUUCAAUUGAAGUUGUAAAAUUUGACACAAAUUUUGGAUUGAAUUGUCGGGUUGUUGCAAUAAAUUUAACAUCAGAUGAAAUUACUUUGAAAUACGAUGAAAUACAAAGAAUCACUAAAAAUUGAUUAAACAUAAUGAGGGGCAAUAUUUUGAAGAAAAUCGUUUUUAAAUGGUUACAAUAUCAAAACUUCAAAGUUAAUGACAUUAAAUUGACUAAAUGAGCAGAAUUUAAAUGAUGAUAAAAUAAACUUUUCAUAAUGAGUUAUAUUAUAUUUCGGUUAUUUAGUCAAAAGUUAACGACAUUUGGAAGCUUUGUGAGUUUCCAAAAACAAUAUUAAAAAUGCUGAUUAAAAAGUUGUUAAUUUUCUACUUACUCAUUAAAUCAAUUUACUGUGCAAAAAAGAAAAAAGUAUCAAUAGUAAAAAUCAAAAACAUUACCACCGAAUUCAAUGUUCAGUAUUCCGAAUUGUAUACUGUUCGUAUAUCGCCCGAGUCAAAGGACACAACUAUUGAUUUAUUUUGGAAGCUAUCCAAAACCAUUCCAAAUCAAUACAAUGCAGAUGUGGAUGUAUUAGUAAAACUCAAUAAUUUAUAUACAAACAUUUUUUCCUAUAGUUUCGAUGUUUGUCGACUUUGGGAUGGAUUUAUGAGUCAAACAAUUGCAAGGAUGUGGUUUAAAAAUAUUAAGAGAUAUGGAAAUAUGUCAAUGACUUGUCCAUUUAAAAAGGGAACUUACUUUUUGAACAGAUUUAACCUUGAUUUAUCGAGUGUUCCAUCAUUAAUAACUACUGGACAAUACAGACUUUUUGUCCAUUCUUAUGUCAAGACGAACUCAUUGAAGGAUAUGGUUUGGAAAGCGAGCUAUGACGUAGAAUUUUUAAGGGUAUAAAUGAUAAUAUUCUGGAAAUUAUGAAUAUAAUUUUGAAAAUAUGUGAGACAAUGUUUUUAAAUAAAUGAAGG